rnacentral:rRNA from 1 species
AGAGUUUGAUCCUGGCUCAGAACGAACGCUGGCGGCAGGCUUAACACAUGCAAGUCGAACGCAUCCUUCGGGGUGAGUGGCAGACGGGUGAGUAACACGUGGGAACGUACCCUUUGGUUCGGAAUAACCCUGGGAAACUAGGGCUAAUACCGGAUACGGCCGGGAGGCGAAAGGUUUACUGCCGAAGGAACGGCCCGCGUCCGAUUAGCUAGUUGGUGGGGUAAUGGCUCACCAAGGCGACGAUCGGUAGCUGGUCUGAGAGGAUGGCCAGCCACAUUGGGACUGAGACACGGCCCAAACUCCUACGGGAGGCAGCAGUGGGGAAUAUUGGACAAUGGGCGCAAGCCUGAUCCAGCCAUGCCGCGUGAGUGAUGACGGCCUUAGGGUUGUAAAGCUCUUUUACCUGGGAAGAUAAUGACG